rnacentral:rRNA from 1 species
ACUCUUAACGGGGUGGCUUUUCAGAAGUGUAAAAAGCUUCUGGAAUAAGGGCUGGGCAAGACCGGUGCCAGCCGCCGCGGUAACGCCGGCAGCUCAAGUGGUAGCCGCUUUUAUUGGGCCUAAAGCGUCCGUAGCCGGUCUGAUAAGUCUCUGGUGAAAUCCCACAGCUUAACUGUGGGAAUUGCUGAGAUACUAUCAUGACUCGAGGUCGG